ensembl:lncRNA
GCCAUUAGUAUAUUGGAAGGCAGUCAUAGGAACAGAAACUUCUAUCUAUCAUGUUGACUCUUUGGAAUUUCAGUGUCAUACAUUCUCUUAGCCUAAGCAGUAUUUUUACAUAACAUCUCGAGAGCUGCUUAUUGAAGUCCAGGAUGUUAACCAUGGACAUGAGGCUAAACAGCCUAGGAGCAAAGUGUCCUAAUUUAUUUGUAAAUGCUUUCAAAUGUUGUGGUAGAAGUGCUCCCUAAAGUUAGAAGAGGUUGGGGGCAGGGAGACAGGGCAGGUUGGGUUCUAUUUUGAGACCCGCAGAAGAGGAAGUGAGAUGAGUUUGGAAUGUUCUGUGCCCAGCUCCUCCUAUCACCUGCUGGGGAAAGCUGGAAAAGAGGAAAUGUCCCUGGUGAACCAGGAGUGACUGUCAAGGUGAAAACCUGCACAGGGGAAAGGACAUGGAAAUAAUGGCUCAUGGAGAGGAUUUGGUUUUUGCAAGUUUCCUGAAGAAAAGAAAAGAUAAAAUGAAAUUUUUGUGGGUGCAAUACUGGUUCCAACUUCAAAAUACUACCUUCUCUUUCUUUCUGAAGAAGGGUGGAGAUGCAGCUUGCCUCCGAGGACAAUACCACAUGCACACAGUGCAGGCUGUGAGGGAAUUUGGUACACUGAAUGGUGAUUACCUCUUUGAGAUUACAAUGAAAAAUGGGAAGAAGAAAAUUCUGGCUGCAGAGACUCCCAAACUUCGUGCUAUGUGGAUUGAAACUUUAUGGAAAUCCAUGCAGCUUAUCGGGCCAUACCUCAGCCAGGCUGCCUACGGAAGGAGUGACUUUCCAAGGCCAUCUGGAGAAGCGUUACCUGGGACUGCACUUGGUGAGGAAGAACUAAGCAAAAGCCAGUCAUCUGCCAAGGAGAACUUUCCCUCUCCAGCCAAGACCAUGAAUAGCUUAAUCCCAGAAGAGAUGUUGGAAAUCAGACCCUACCAUGCUGUGCCAAAUGCAGCCUUCAAUAUUUAUGAUGUCCCAAGAUCCUGGAGGAGCAACAGGCCAGCUGAAAAUAAUCUGGAUGGAAGAGACUAGUGCAAUCCCCUGCCCAUCGGUGGCCAACCUCAGCAUCACCUGAUUCUCCAGGCUGGAAAGACCUCUGACUCAAAUUCUGCACCACUCCCCUGCUCGCUCCCUUCCUGGAAGCUGGUCAGGGAAAGGAUUUGCCCAUUGGAGUGAUAAUUCUGGACUUCUGAGAAUGGUGGCGGUUAUUUCAGCCCAUUGUUAUUAAAGAGAGAACCCCUAUUUUCAUAGCAAUGGCUUCAUCUCAAAGGACCUGAUCUGCUUAUUAGCAACUCCCAAUGCCAAAGAGGUGUGGGGAACAGGUUUGUCAGAACCGGGGCUGGUUCUCCCACAGGACCUCACCCUGAAGCAGAGAGAUCUGCCCAAGUAAGAGGCAAGGCCCAGUGAAUCUGCAUCAAAUCUUCAGCCAGAACCCUAGACUUACUUCUAGAAAUGCUGGCAAAUAGCAGUAAGAGACAGAAAUUAAAGGCAUAGGCAAAGAGAGAACAAAAACUAUCCUGAUUGGCCAAUGACUUGAAGGUUUACUGAGAAAUGAGCAAAGAAGCUAAAUGAGCUAACAGCUUCCUCCGCCCAUUGAGAAGGCAAGAAACACAAUACCCAUUAUACAUAGGAAGUCAUGCAAAACAUAUUCCCAAAUUAGCCACGUUGCAGGCAAAAAGACAAGAAAAAUAAGUAAGGAAAAAAUAUGCUUCAAUCUGCACUUGUUGGUGCAUAGCAUUUUCCAUCAUGAAUCCUUUGGAAUUGUGAAUCAUUGUAUGGAUCAAAGUAGCUAAAUUUUUCACAGUUGAUCAUCGUUAUAAUAUUGCUAUUUCUGUGUACAAUAUUCUCUUGGUUCUGCUCCUUUCACUUUGCAUCAGUUCAUAUAAGUCAUCCCAGGUUUUUUUCUGAAAUCAAUCCCUGAUCAUUUCUUAUAGCACAAUAAUAUUCUGUCACAAUCACAUACUACAACUCAUUCAUUCAUUCAUUUUCCAAUUGAUGGGCAUCCCCUCAGUUUCCAGCUCUUUGCUGCCACAAAAAAAAAAAAAGCUGCUGUAAAGAUUUUUGUACAGAUAUAGUCUAGGAGUUCUUAACCUUGUGUUUUAUGGACUCCUUUGGCAGUUUGGUGAAACCUAUAGAUCCCUUCUCAAAAUAAAUGCUUUUCAAUGCAUAAAGGAAAUCA